AUUGAACGCUGGCGGCAGGCCUAACACAUGCAAGUCGAACGGUAACAGGAAGCAGCUUGCUGCUUCGCUGACGAGUGGCGGACGGGUGAGUAAUGUCUGGGAAGCUGCCUGAUGGAGGGGGAUAACUACUGGAAACGGUAGCUAAUACCGCAUAAUGUCGCAAGACCAAAGAGGGGGACCUUCGGGCCUCUUGCCAUCGGAUGUGCCCCGAUGGGAUUAGCUUGUUGGUGGGGUAACGGCUCACCAAGGCGACGAUCCCUAGCUGGUCUGAGAGGAUGAACAGCCACACUGGAACUGAGACACGGUCCAGACUCCUACGGGAGGCAGCAGUGGGGAAUAUUGCACAAUGGGCGCAAGCCUGAUGCAGCCAUGCCGCGUGUAUGAAGAAGGCCUUCGGGUUGUAAAGUACUUUCAGCGGGGAGGAAGGGAGUAAAGUUAAUACCUUUGCUCAUUGACGUUACCCGCAGAAGAAGCACCGGCUAACUCCGUG
rnacentral:rRNA from 1 species